CAGAGGAUAGUUUAAUUUGAGAAUUUUAGCUUUGGGAGCUAAAGGUGGGGGUUAAAAUCUCCCUUCUUUGA
rnacentral:tRNA from 1 species